AGAAAAUGUUUGUGUCUGAAAAACACCGCGUUUCCUUUGGAUCACUUAAAGCCGCAGAGCCGCACGGUGUGCGAUACUUCGCGAGCGAUCACCUCGCGUCCUGCCAAGUUCCCCCUCCGCUGCAACCCGGGCUGGGAACUGCGGGGCUCGGAGGGGAGGGAGCGUCCCGCAGCGCUCCGGGGAGACAUGCAAACAAAGGUUCGUUGCUCGGAUUCCCGGUGCUUGUUUUACUGCCCUUCAGCAGUUUGCCAUCACCAAAAAUUCUUCACCGGAGUUGGUAAAUUCCAAAAUGCAGUCCUAUAUCUGGAAGGUCACUUGACGUUUUUUGGGCGUCCAUCCAGAACUCUUCAGUAUUUCUUCAAAUUUAAAUAUUUUCUCGGUUAUUUUUAAGUAGCUAUAAAGUUAAAAGAGUUGAUUUUCUGUUUUAAAAGGGGGAGAGAGACAGAGAAGUGUAAGGUGUGUUUUGAUGAAAAGAAGAACCUGUAAUUCAUCUCUCGCUUUUUCUUGGAUGGCUUUUACUUCUCCUUUGAGCCUCAUGGAUAUCUCUUCAGCAACAACUAUAUUGUUAUUGACUUCAGUGAGACCUGAUCGAGCCCUGGAUUCACAUAUAUGUCUGCAUCCAAACUCCCAAAUACCUUUGGGAGUUGUGCUAAGGAUGAGAUCUGGGAUAAGGAAUGUAGUUUGGAUAGCAACCUCAGAAACUCUCAUUAAAAAAGCGUUAGUUUGUCCAUGAAUAGGCAUAUAGCACUCAAGAGGCUGGUGUAAUGUUCUCCUCUGCUACAGCGUAAUUCCAAAUGUCCAGCUAGAUAGCCUAGGAAAAAGAGAGAUGCUUAGAAGGGUCAGUGGUAAUUGAAGGGUGCAUCUCAGUGCUUGCCUGUUGUCUUGUCCUUGAUUUCCCAAAUGACACACACAAAAAAAAAAAAAAAAAAAAAGCUGGAUAAAUGUCCACAGUGCCACGUUUCACUAAGCAAGGAUCUAGGCUUUCCUGGAAGAUGCAAAUUAACCUGUUCAGAUUACGCCAUGGAUUAUGAAGUCUUUCCUGUAUAGAUUUCAAAACUGUAGUAACUCAUUAGUGCAAGAGUGGGAAGUUAGGUCAAUCAUGCCUCAUCUAACAAGAGGAAAGCUCUUCUAGCUCAAGAAUCUUGAAGGAUAAAUCACUUAAACAAGUUGUCUUCUUUUUCCUCCCAAGUUUGCCCUCUUAGACCCUUUUUAAAGUUACAGCAUUCCCUUUAAACAAGAAAGCCUGUUAGCAUGUCCCGAGUUGUGGAUGGCACUAAAUCCUUGUCAAACAGUUCUGACCUGGAAAUCAGAAAUCUGACCUUUCCCAACUGAGAGACAGAGAGCCACAAAUCCUCAAUUAUCUUUAAGACACAACACGAGUUUUGUGCACUUUGGACCAAAUUCAAUCCUGAUGUAAAAAGAUGCAGUCCCCUUGAGUCUCUGGAGCUGCAAGCUGCUUACAUUAAGGCUGUACUUCAGCCCUUGGUUUUGUCCAUGAGACUUAACUCUUAAUUAAGCUUAACUCUUACUCCUGGAGAAUUAAUUUCUCUUCAGGAUUUGUCGUUUGAGUGUUAGGAAUGCCUGAUGUUUCUAUCUAAUUGCACAGUGAGAUGAAUUGCUAUGGGACAUACUCAUUUUUUCUUUCUAUCAAAUUACAGGAAGAUUGAAUGAAACCCAAGAAAUCCACCAUCUAAAUAUGUUCUAAAUUAGCAUAAAGAACACAGCCAAAGGGUGAGAACUGGACACAGAUUUUGGGAAGUUCCUGUCCAUGAAUCUACCUGUUGCAACAUGCUUCCUAACAUGGGGCAGCUUGGUCUCUCCUGAGAAUAGAGAGUCUUUGUUUGCUUUACGGGGCAUUUUCAGUCCCAUUCAGAAGGAUCAAGCUCACUUGCAAGAGGAAGCUGUUCAAAUCUUUAUCUCCCACAAAUCUAUCAGUGAUAUUUCACCACCUUUCAAAUCCACCACAUUCCCUUGGUCUUGUCAGGAUUUUUAGCAAUCCGGACAUUAAUGAUUAUAAUGUUCGAGUCUAUUAGUUUUAGAGAUUUCCUAUGGUGAUGCAUUAAAACCGCCGAAUACACUUAUUUCUUAACUGCUCAGUAUUAAAUGAAAUACUCCUUAUAAGUCAUUUUGCAAAGAACAUUUACAAAUGAGUAUUUUUGGUUAGUUUUCUGGAAAAGUCUGGAUAUGCCAGUGUUUGGACUAAGCUGUAAAGCCUUUGACUCCCACUCUAGAAAAGUAGCAUAGUCAACACUGUCCCUUACUUUGGACUGUGUGUAUUUCUGUGGCUUAAAUGCUCUUGGAAACCUAUUUAGGAUGGAGACCUCCUGGUAGUUGUUUUGACUGAGUCUAUCUCUUGCUUUUUGACACUGAUGUAGGUUUGUGGUUGAUAAGUGAGCCAACAUCACCAUUACUGGUGUAUCCUUCCCGCCAGCCUUACCAAAUGAGUUGGGAACUGAGUGGUUCUGCAUACUGAGCUAACUUCUUCAUCUGUCUCAUAUUGGAUGUGACAACAGCAAAGGCAGUAGCAAGAAGCUUUCUCUUGGCUGCACAUUCUCUCAUUUUCAGGGCUGUCAUUUCCUCUAAACAGAUUAUCUUUUCUAUGGAGCUCAGUUCCAAGUUUUUGUAGACCCUGAAUUAUUUAUUUAAGCAUCAAAUAAUGCAUACCUCAGAAAACCCAAACAAUUAAAGUUUUUUUUCAUAAUAAAAAUACAUAGUGAAGACAGACUGGGAGGAGUGCAACUGCUUACUGAGAGCAGCCCUAUGGAGAAGGACUUGGGGGUUCUAGUGGAUGGAAAGCUUGACACAAGCCAGGAGUGUGCUCUUGCAACCUGGAAGGCCAACUGCAUCCCGAGCUGCAUUACAAGAGCAGUGGCCAGUAAAGUAAGGGAGGAAAUUGUCCACCCUCUGCUCUACUCUUAUGAGACCCCACCUGAACUACUGCAUUUAGCUCUGGGUUCCCCAGCACAGGUAAAAUGUGGAGCCGUUGGAUUGGGUCCAGAGGAGGGCCACAAAGAUCAUCAGAGGGCUGGAGCACCUCUCCUGUGAAAACAGUCUGAUAGGCUUGUUUAGCCUGGAGAAGAGAAGACUCUGGAGAGACCUCAUUGUGGCCUUCCAGUACUUGAGGGGAAGUUACAAGCACCGGAGGGACUAACUUUAUACAUGGAUAGAUAGUGUAUGACAAUGGGGAAUGGCUUUAAACAAAAGAAGGGAAAUUUAGGUUAGGUGUUAGGAGAAAAUCCUUUCCUUAGAGGGCAGUGAGGUGCUGGCACAGCUGCCCAGAGAAGCUGUGGUGCCCCAUCCCUGGAGGCACUCAAUGCCAGGUUGGAUGGGGCCCUGGGCAGCCUGAGCUGGUGGGGGGCAGCCCUGCCCACGGCAGGAACUGGGGCUGGGUCGGCUUUGAGCUCACUUCCAGCCCAAGCCAUUCCAUGAUUCUAUAAUAUCAGGUGUGUGAGCUCCUAAGUGGCAUUAUCCCGAU
ensembl:lncRNA